rnacentral:rRNA from 1 species
CGGCGGACGGGUGAGUAACGCGUGGGAACGUACCCUUUUCUGCAGGAUAGCCACUGGAAACGGUGAGUAAUACUGCAUACGCCCUUCGGGGGAAAGAUUUAUCGGAGAAGGAUCGGCCCGCGUUAGAUUAGGUAGUUGGUGGGGUAAUGGCCUACCAAGCCUACGAUCUAUAGCUGGUUUGAGAGGAUGAUCAGCCACACUGGGACUGAGACACGGCCCAGACUCCUACGGGAGGCAGCAGUGGGGAAUCUUAGACAAUGGGGGCAACCCUGAUCUAGCCAUGCCGCGUGAGUGAUGAAGGCCUUAGGGUCGUAAAGCUCUUUCGCUGGGGAAGAUAAUGACGGUACCCAGUAAAGAAACCCCGGCUAACUCCGUGCCAGCAGCCGCGGUAAUACGGAGGGGGUUAGCGUUGUUCGGAAUUACUGGGCGUAAAGCGCGCGUAGGCGGAUCAGAAAGUUGGGGGUGAAAUCCCGGGGCUCAACCUCGGAACUGCCUCCAAAACUCCUGGUCUUGAGUUUCGAGAGAGGUGAGUGGAACUCCGAGUGUAGAGGUGAAAUUCGUUAGAUAUUCGGAAGAACACCAGUGGCGAAGGCGGCUCA